rnacentral:rRNA from 1 species
UACGUAGGGGGCAAGCGUUGUCCGGAAUCAUUGGGCGUAAAGCGCGUGUAGGCGGCUCGGUAAGUCCGCUCUGAAAGCCCGGGGCUCAACCCCGGGAGGCGGGUGGAUACUGCUGAGCUCGAGUCCGGAAGAGGAGUGUGGAAUUCCUGGUGUAGCGGUGAAAUGCGCAGAUAUCAGGAGGAACACCAAUGGCGAAGGCGGCGAUCUGGGUCGAUACUGACGCUGAGGUGCGAAAGCGUGGGGAGCAAACAGG